AACGAACGCUGGCGGCAUGCCUAACACAUGCAAGUCGAACGAGACCUUCGGGUCUAGUGGCGCACGGGUGCGUAACGCGUGGGAACCUGCCCUUAGGUUCGGAAUAACUCCCCGACAGGGGUGCUAAUACCGGAUAAUGUCUUCGGACCAAAGAUUUAUCGCCUUUGGAUGGGCCCGCGUUGGAUUAGCUAGUUGGUAGGGUAAAAGCAUACCAAGGCGACGAUCCAUAGCUGGUCUGAGAGGAUGAUCAGCCACACUGGGACUGAGACACGGCCCAGACUCCUACGGGAGGCAGCAGUGGGGAAUAUUGGACAAUGGGCGAAAGCCUGAUCCAGCAAUGCCGCGUGAGUGAUGAAGGCCUUAGGGUUGUAAAGCUCUUUUACCCGGGAUGAUAAUGACAGUACCGGGAGAAUAAGCUCCGGCUAACUCCGUG
rnacentral:rRNA from 1 species